rnacentral:rRNA from 1 species
UACGAAGGGGGCUAGCGUUGUUCGGAAUUACUGGGCGUAAAGGGCGCGUAGGCGGUUCGUACAGUCAGACGUGAAAUUCCUGGGCUCAACCUGGGGGCUGCGUUUGAUACGUGCGGACUUGAGUGCGGAAGAGGGUCGUGGAAUUCCCAGUGUAGAGGUGAAAUUCGUAGAUAUUGGGAAGAACACCGGUGGCGAAGGCGGCGACCUGGUCCGAUACUGACGCUGAGGCGCGAAAGCGUGGGGAGCAAACAGG